CCUACGGGUGGCAGCAGUGAGGAAUAUUGGUCAAUGGACGAGAGUCUGAACCAGCCAAGUAGCGUGAAGGAUGACUGCCCUAUGGGUUGUAAACUUCUUUUAUAUGGGAAUAAAACGUUCCACGUGUGGGAUUUUGUAUGUACCAUAUGAAUAAGGAUCGGCUAACUCCGUGCCAGCAGCCGCGGUAAUACGGAGGAUCCGAGCGUUAUCCGGAUUUAUUGGGUUUAAAGGGAGCGUAGGCGGAUUGUUAAGUCAGUUGUGAAAGUUUGCGGCUCAACCGUAAAAUUGCAGUUGAAACUGGCAGUCUUGAGUACAGUGGAGGUAGGCGGAAUUCGUGGUGUAGCGGUGAAAUGCUUAGAUAUCACGAAGAACUCCGAUUGCGAAGGCAGUUCACUGGACUGCAACUGACACUGAGGCUCGAAAGUGUGGGUAUCAAACAGGAUUAGAUACCCUUGUAGUC
rnacentral:rRNA from 1 species